AACGCGAAGAACCUUACCAGGUCUUGACAUCCCUCUGAAUCCGCUAGAGAUAGCGGCGGCCUUCGGGACAGAGGAGACAGGUGGUGCAUGGUUGUCGUCAGCUCGUGUCGUGAGAUGUUGGGUUAAGUCCCGCAACGAGCGCAACCCUUGAUCUUAGUUGCCAGCAGGUGAAGCUGGGCACUCUAGGAUGACUGCCGGUGACAAACCGGAGGAAGGUGGGGAUGACGUCAAAUCAUCAUGCCCCUUAUGACCUGGGCUACACACGUACUACAAUGGCCGAUACAACGGGAAGCGAAACCGCGAGGUGGAGCCAAUCCUAUCAAAGUCGGUCUCAGUUCGGAUUGCAGGCUGCAACUCGCCUGCAUGAAGUCGGAAUUGCUAGUAAUCGCGGAUCAGCAUGCCGCGGUGAAUACGUUCCCGGGCCUUGUACACACCGUAGAGAC
rnacentral:rRNA from 1 species